AAGCAAGGCAUGGUUGGAUGAAGGCAAGGAAUAGAGAUCUUCAUUCCUAUUGAUCAAAGGCCAUGCCCAAUUGGCUUCAAGAAGGCUGCCGAAGGCCUUAUUAGGGAUUAGGGUUUUUUUUUGAGGUCAUUUGAGCUUUAGAGACUAGGAUCAUCGAGUUUAGAUUUUUUGAUAUGGAUUAGAUAUAAAUUUUAUGUGAUUAAGAG
rnacentral:lncRNA from 1 species